rnacentral:rRNA from 1 species
UACAGAGGGUGCGAGCGUUGCUCGGAAUUACUGGGCGUAAAGCGCGUGUAGGCGGAUCCAUAAGUCGGGCGUGAAAUCCCCAGGCUCAACCUGGGAACUGCGCUCGAAACUGUGGGUCUAGAGUGUCGGAGAGGAUGGCGGAAUUCCUGGUGUAGAGGUGAAAUUCGUAGAUAUCAGGAGGAACACCGGUGGCGAAGGCGGCCAUCUGGACGACAACUGACGCUGAGACGCGAAAGCGUGGGGAGCAAACAGG